rnacentral:rRNA from 1 species
AGAGUUUGAUUCUGGCUCAGAUUGAACGCUGGCGGCAGGCCUAACACAUGCAAGUCGAGGGUAACACAGAGAGCUUGCUCUCGGGUGACGAGCGGCGGACGGGUGAGUAAUGUCUGGGAACUGCCUGAUGGAGGGGGAUAACUACUGGAAACGGUAGCUAAUACCGCAUAACGUCGCAGACCAAAGUGGGGGACCUUCGGGCCUCAUGCCAUCAGAUGUGCCCAGAUGGGAUUAGCAGUAGGUGGGGUAAUGGCUCACCUAGGCGACGAUCCCUAGCUGGUCUGAGAGGAUGACCGCCACACUGGAACUGAGACACGGUCCAGACUCCUACGGGAGGCAGCAGUGGGGAAUAUUCACAAUGGGCGCAAGCCUGAUGCAGCCAUGCCGCGUGUAUGAAGAAGGCCUUCGGGUUGAAAGUACUUUCAGCGAGGAGGAAGGCAUUAAGGUUAAUAACCUUGGUGAUUGACGUUACCGCAGAAGAAGCACCGGCUAACUCCGUGCCAGCAGCCGCGGUAAUACGGAGGGUGCAAGGUUAAUCGGAAUUACUGGGCGUAAAGCGCACGCAGGCGGUCUGUCAAGUCGGAUGUGAAUCCCCGGGCUCAACCUGGGAACUGCAUUCGAAACUGGCAGGCUAGAGUCUUGUAGAGGGGGUAGAAUUCCAGGUGUAGCGGUGAAAUGCGUAGAGAUCUGGAGGAAUACCGGUGGCGAGGCGGCCCCCUGGACAAAGACUGACGCUCAGGUGCGAAAGCGUGGGGAGCAAACAGGAUAGAUACCCUGGUAGUCCACGCCGUAAACGAUGUCGACUUGGAGGUUGUGCCCUUGAGGCUGGCUUCCGGAGCUAACGCGUUAAGUCGACCGCCUGGGGAGUACGGCCGCAAGGUUAAAUCA